GGGCCCGUAGUAUACCGGUAGAAUGCUUCCAUGGCAUGGAAGAGAAGAGGGUUCAAUUCCCUCCGGGUCCACCA
rnacentral:tRNA from 1 species